rnacentral:rRNA from 1 species
UAGGGAAUCUUCGGCAAUGGGGGGAACCCUGACCGAGCAACGCCGCGUGAGUGAAGAAGGUUUUCGGAUCGUAAAGCUCUGUUGUUAAGGAAGAAAGAGUGUGAGAAUGGAAAGUUCAUACUGUGACGGUACUUAACCAGAAAGGGACGGCUAACUACGUGCCAGCAGCCGCGGUAAUACGUAGGUCCCGAGCGUUGUCCGGAUUUAUUGGGCGUAAAGCGAGCGCAGGCGGUUAGAUAAGUCUGAAGUUAAAGGCAGUGGCUCAACCAUUGUAGGCUUUGGAAACUGUUUAACUUGAGUGCAGAAGGGGAGAGUGGAAUUCCAUGUGUAGCGGUGAAAUGCGUGGUUAUAUGGAGGAACACCGGUGGCGAAAGCGGCUCUCUGGUCUGUAACUGACGCUGAGGCUCGAAAGCGUGGGGAGCGAACAGG